ensembl:lncRNA
AAUCCCCAUCCCAGGAGGCAAGGGAUCCUCUCUGACGAUGAGGGUGUGCUGUUUGUGCCACAUACCUGAGGGACAGUGUGGCUGGAGGGGUGGGAGUCAGGCACUGACGAUGCACUUGCUGUUUACAGGUUGUUUUACGACUGGCUAUUGGAGCUCCUAAAAUGGCUCAGGAGCCAACCAACCAUUUUAGUCUAUGUUCUGGUUUGUUUAUUCAUUCAUUCAUUCAUUCAUUCAUUCAUUCAUGCAUUCAGUCAGUCAUUAAGCAUGUGUUACGUGCCUGUUGCAUGCAAAGAUACAUGGGGGAUUCAACCUUUCUACUUAACCUUAUCUCACCUCACUCCCUGCAGUGACCUCUCCUCCCCACUGCACUGAGCUUCUCACUGUCUCCGCUCUCCAAAAUGCCUAACACUCUCCGCCUCAGUGCCUUGACUCAAGCUAUGGCUGUUGCCAUCACUGCUGCCUCUCAUCCAUGAAACAAAGUAGCAUGUUAGAAAGAUCCCAGGUUCAGAGUCAGGAGGUAAGCAUUCGAAUCUUGGCUCUAACUCUCACUAGCUGUUAAGUUCUUUAGUCUACGUGAGCCCCAGUUUCCACAUCUGCCAGAUAGGAAUGACAUUAGGAUCUAUCACAGAAGGCUGUUGUGAGAAUAAAUACUAUGAGAUGUGUAAGAUAUCUAUUAUGGCUAAGUCAGUGCCCAGCCUGGAGUUGAAACUUAGUAACAAAUGUCUGUUGAAAGGACCUGAUGAAUUCUGGCCUGAGAGGUGGGAAACUUGAAUCUUAGUCACAGGAAUAUGUGCUUGAAUAAGUCACUGCUUUUCUCAAGGGGCUCCAAUCCCUUGAUUAAAAUUGCAGGGUUGGAUCACCAGAAUGCCAAGUAUUGACAUCCCUGGCUUCCCAUCCUGUGAUUCUGAACUGGAUCCAGGGACACUUGGCACACAGCCGGCUUCAUCUCCAUCUUCCCUCGGGGAAGGCAUCGCUAGUUGAUCAGAGUGUUCUAUCUGCUGAGCCCUCGGAAUCUCUCCACAGGGCACCUGCCAGUCAUCACCAAUCAAACCCGAGAUGACGGUUGAGAUCAAACAGACUUUUCAUUCCUAGUUGGUGCCUGGGUGAGUGACGAGGCCUACCAGUGCUGGAGGACACAGUCAAGGUGAUGGACGUGUGGGGGUGGGGGAGCGUACAGAACAGGGGUGUGAAUGUGGGGCGGUGGUCCAUUGGGGAUGCUCCGCAGGGCACAGACACCACUAUCAUGUCACUUUUGUCCCACUAGCCCUUCCUUAUGGCUUCACCUGGGCAGCCAUUAUAUCCAGCCCAGGGGAGAGGUGAAGGCAAGGGAAGGGCACCGAUUAUGAACCAGUUGAUGUGCUUGUUGAGUUUUCAUGGCUGAUAUCUUAAUCCUCAUUAUCAACCCUGCCAGGGAACUGGUCUUAGCUCCACUUCAAGGAUGAGGAAUAGCAGGCUCACAGCUUACUGAUCAUGAUGAUUAAUCAUAAAAUUAAUCACAGUAAUUGGCUUGGGUUGCACUCCAGCUUCACCCCUUUUGGCUGUGGGGUCUUGGGCAAGUCACUUAGUCAACCUGUGCCUCAGUGUCCUCAUUUGUAGAGUAGGCAUAAUAGCAAUAUCCACCUCAUUAUGAAGGAGUUAAUACAGAGGAAGUUUUUGAAACAUUAUUAGCAUUUAAUAAGAGGUCAGUAAACCAUUUUCAAGGCUGUUGGCAUGGAUUUCAUAUUGAUUUUGCUAUCCCCAGCAUCUCAGAGAAUGUCCUGUACAUAGUAGGUGCUCAUUAAAUGCUUUGCACCCACUUGUUGAGCAUUAUCAACUCCCCAGAAAAGUCCCACAUAGGUCUUCUUGUUGCUGAGAAAGUCCCACAUAGGUCUUUCUUGUUGCCAAAGAGGACAUCUCAAAGAAAAUAACGAAAAUAUACUGAGCCAAACAAAAAUGCAAGCACAACAUAUCAAAAUGUGUGAGAUGCAGCCAAAGCAGUGCUGAGAGGAAAUUUUAUAGCACUAAGAGGCCUACAUUAGAAAACAAGAAAGAUCUCAAUCAAUGAUCAAAGCCAUGCCCUCAGAAAAAGAAAAGUGAAAUAAGCCCAAAGCAAGAAGAAGAAAGGAAAUAAUAAAGAUAAAAGCAGAAGUCGAUGACAUUGAAAACAGAAAAAGAAAUAGAAAAAAAAAAAAUAAAAAAG